GAAGUUUUCAGAGAUGAGAAUGUGCCUUCGGGAACCGUGAGACAGGUGCUGCAUGGCUGUCGUCAGCUCGUGUUGUGAAAUGUUGGGUUAAGUCCCGCAACGAGCGCAACCCUUAUCCUUUGUUGCCAGCGGUCCGGCCGGGAACUCAAAGGAGACUGCCAGUGAUAAACUGGAGGAAGGUGGGGAUGACGUCAAGUCAUCAUGGCCCUUACGACCAGGGCUACACACGUGCUACAAUGGCGCAUACAAAGAGAAGCGACCUCGCGAGAGUAAGCGGACCUCAUAAAGUGCGUCGUAGUCCGGAUUGGAGUCUGCAACUCGACUCCAUGAAGUCGGAAUCGCUAGUAAUCGUGGAUCAGAAUGCCACGGUGAAUACGUUCCCGGGCCUUGUACACACCGCCCGUCACACCAUGGGAGUGGGUUGCAAAAGAAGUAGGUAGCUUAACCUUCGGGAGGGCGCUUACCACUUUGUGAUUCAUGACUGGGGUGAAGUCGUAACAAGGUAACCGUAGGGGAACCUGCGGUUGGAUCACCUCCUUA
rnacentral:rRNA from 1 species